rnacentral:rRNA from 1 species
AUUGAACGCUGGCGGCAUGCCUUACACAUGCAAGUCGAACGGUAACAGGUCUUCGGAUGCUGACGAGUGGCGAACGGGUGAGUAACGCGUGGGUAACCUGCCCUGUACACACGGAUAACAUACCGAAAGGUAUGCUAAUACGAGAUAAUAUACUUUUAUCGCAUGGUAGAAGUAUCAAAGCUUUUGCGGUACAGGAUGGACCCGCGUCUGAUUAGCUAGUUGGUAAGGUGACGGCUUACCAAGGCGACGAUCAGUAGCCGACCUGAGAGGGUGAUCGGCCACAUUGGAACUGAGACACGGUCCAAACUCCUACGGGAGGCAGCAGUGGGGAAUAUUGCACAAUGGGCGAAAGCCUGAUGCAGCAACGCCGCGUGAGCGAUGAAGGCCUUCGGUCGUAAAGCUCUGUCCUCAAGGAAGAUAAUGACGGUACUUGAGGAGGAAGCCCCGGCUAACUACGUG